rnacentral:rRNA from 1 species
GACGAACCGUGCGAACGUUAUUCGGAAUCACUGGGCUUAAAGCGCGUGUAGGCGGCCCGGCGCGUCGGAUGCUGAAAUCCCCCGGCUCAACCGGGGAAGGGGCGCCGAUACGGCCGGGCUGGAGGGGGGUAGGGGGCGCUGGAACUCACGGUGGAGCGGUGAAAUGCGUUGAGAUCGUGAGGAACGCCCGCGGCGAAAGCGAGCGCCUGGACCCUUUCUGACGCUGAGGAGCGAAAGCGUGGGGAGCGAACAGG